rnacentral:rRNA from 1 species
UACGGAGGGGGCUAGCGUUGUUCGGAAUUACUGGGCGUAAAGCGCACGUAGGCGGACAGGGAAGUUGGGGGUGAAAUCCCGGGGCUCAACCCCGGAACUGCCUCCAAAACUCCCUGUCUGGAGGUCGAGAGAGGCGAGUGGAAUUCCGAGUGUAGAGGUGAAAUUCGUAGAUAUUCGGAGGAACACCAGUGGCGAAGGCGGCUCGCUGGCUCGAUACUGACGCUGAGGUGCGAAAGCGUGGGGAGCAAACAGGAUUAGAAACCCCCGUAGUCC